rnacentral:lncRNA from 1 species
UGCCUGGUGACUUUUGCUACCAUCUGAUCAAUUGACUUUUUCAGACCUGAAUCAAGAGGAUUCCAGAAUUCCACAGCUUUGUGAUACAUGGAAUAACAAUUCGUGUCAAUUAGAUGACUGGUAUAGAACAAUGAAAAAUACUGAGUAAACUGUUAAGAUUUGUUGUUUGAUGUUAUAUGAUAAUCGCAUUGUUAGUGUAGUUUUAAGAGUUAACUAGAUGUGGGAAAAGGCGGCCUCGCAUAAGUUAGUGUCAAUCAUAUUUUGUUACUUUCAGGAGCCUUGUGGUUUGAAGAUAAAGAGGACAGAACCUGUGCAGAAGAAAAAGAGCCAGUCAAAGCCGCUCCUGCAGUUUGGACGAGAUCCAUGAAGUCACAGAGUCUGUGCAAGAACAAAGGGUUACUAGCGGUGAUGAAGAAGAACCGUGAGCCUUCAUCCCCACGACCCUCAACGACCACCACCAAGAGACACUGCACAGGGAACAAGCACUGGAAAACAAAGCAGAAGAAAUUGGCUAAGACUGAAUUCUGCUACAGUCAACUUCUUGAGGGUGGGCUGGUUUUCAGUCUGACCCAUAUGCUGCACAGAAAAGGACAGAAGAAUAACAUCAGUUUUCGAAAUACGUCCACAGCUGGCUCAUUUCAGGCUUUAGAUUGUCAUCAAGAAAUUACUAUAUAUAACAUUUUGUUUGUACUCAGUGUGGAGAAAGAAAGAAGGAAGAUCAUGAACCUUGAGAAACAGCAAGUAGCCAUCUUCUCCUAGAAGAUGAGCUUACCAAGAGUACAGUGAAGCUGCUGAAAGAUCACCUGGCACAUAUGUUUCUGUGCAGGUAAGUGUCAGAGUCCAAUACUGUCUAACCAGAUUCUUUUACACCUUACAGGCAUAGAGGGUGCAAUGCUUAAUACCAAAUGUACUUAUCUGAACAUAUUUGAUGUUAACAUAGGGUUUCUGAUAUAGCAGAGUGAUUAAGUAUAUACUGAAAAUAAAACAGAAAUAUAAGUUACA